UAUUAUACUAACGAGUACUAUAAGUCUUAAUUAUUAAUAGAUAUUUUCUUUAAAUUUGAAGAAUUUGGCGGUGAUUUAGUCUUGUUAGAGGAACCUGUUUUUGGAUCGAUACCCCACGCAGAAUCUUGCUCGUUUUAUUGAUAGUUUAUAUACCGUCAUUAUUAGAUAAUUUUAAGAAAAUUAAUUAUUGGGAUUUAAAAAAAUAAUAGAUUAAAUUAGAUCAAGGUGUAGCUUAUAAAUGAGUUAAAAUGGGUUACAAUAAAAUUUAUUUAUUACGGAGUAGCAAGAAAAAGGAAGAUGUUGGUAUGAAGGAGGAUUUAAUUGUAAUAGGAGUUUAAUAAGCUCAAAAGAUAUAAGCUCUAAAUCAU
rnacentral:rRNA from 1 species